rnacentral:misc_RNA from 1 species
CAAUGGCAUUGUGACUGUGGAUGACAAUCGUGUGGGACCAUUAUACAAGCAUGUUUUCCCUCCCAUUUUGGCGCCUUGGCUUUCAUUUGUUGGGUUACCAUGGAAGGUUGUCCCUUUCCCAAUGUUUGAAUUUCAAAGCAAGUGGAUUGCUAGUGUUUUAUCAGGUAGGGUUGCACUUCCAUUGCAAGAGGAGAUGAUGAAAGAUAUUGAAGCUUUCUACCUGUCACUUGAAGCUUCA